CCGGAAGUGCAACUCGAACUUGGUUGGGGCGCGGAUCUCGAGAGAAAAAGUCGGAGCCGGGCGCGAGGGAGUUCGCCCAGAGAGCUGGAAGGCCACGCCUCCUCGUGCCUACCCACUCAGCCUUGCAACUGGGGACAGAGCUCAGAUAUUAGAAGCUUCUGAGGUAAUACAUUUUUUGCUGAAAAUAUCUCUAUUGCUGUUCAGAUUUGCUGUCUAGGAUCGAUUUGAAUGAACUCAUGAAAAAGGACGAACCACCUUUUGAUUUUCCAGAUACACUGGAAGGCUUUGAAUAUGCUUUUAAUGAAAAGGGGCAGUUAAGACACAUAAAAACUGGAGAACCAUUUGUUUUUAACUACCGAGAAGACUUACACAGGUGGAACCAGAAAAGAUAUGAAGCUCUGGGUGAGAUCAUCACAAGAUAUGUUUAUGAGCUCCUGGAAAGUGACUGUAACUUGAAAAAAAUCUCUAUUCCAGUAGAUGCCACUGAAAGUGAACCAAAGAGUUUUAUCUUUAUGAGUGAGGAUGCUUUGACAAAUCCACAGAAACUGAUGGUUUUAAUUCAUGGUAGUGGUGUUGUCAGGGCAGGUCAGUGGGCUAGAAGGCUUAUUAUUAAUGAAGAUCUGGACAGUGGCACACAGAUACCUUUUAUUAAGAGAGCUGUGGAUGAAGGUUAUGGAGUCAUAGUCCUCAACCCAAAUGAAAACUAUAUAGAAGUGGAAAAGCAGAAAAUGCAUAAACAAUCAUCUUCUGAUG
rnacentral:lncRNA from 1 species